rnacentral:rRNA from 1 species
UCAGGAUGAACGCUGGUGGCGUGCUUAACACAUGCAAGUCGAACGAAGCACUUAAACAGAUUCUUCGGAUUGACGUUUUAGUGACUUAGUGGCGGACGGGUGAGUAACGCGUGGGUAACCUACCCUGUACAGGGGGAUAACAGUUAGAAAUGACUGCUAAUACCGCAUAAGCGCACAGUAUCGCAUGAUACAGUGUGAAAAAACUUUUGUGGUACAGGAUGGACCCGCGUCUGAUUAGCUAGUUGGUGAGGUAACGGCCCACCAAGGCAACGAUCAGUAGCCGACUUGAGAGAGUGAUCGGCCACAUUGGGACUGAGACACGGCCCAAACUCCUACGGGAGGCAGCAGUGGGGAAUAUUGCACAAUGGGGGAAACCCUGAUGCAGCGACGCCGCGUGAAGGAUGAAGUAUUUCGGUAUGUAAACUUCUAUCAGCAAGGAAGAAUAAUGACGGUACUUGACUAAGAAGCCCCGGCUAAAUACGUGCCAGCCGCUGC